rnacentral:rRNA from 1 species
AGUGAACGCUGGCGGUAGGCCUAACACAUGCAAGUCGAACGGCAGCACAGUAAGAGCUUGCUCUUACGGGUGGCGAGUGGCGGACGGGUGAGGAAUACAUCGGAAUCUACUUUUUCGUGGGGGAUAACGUAGGGAAACUUACGCUAAUACCGCAUACGACCUACGGGUGAAAGCAGGGGAUCUUCGGACCUUGCGCGAUUGAGUGAGCCGAUGUCGGAUUAGCUAGUUGGCGGGGUAAAGGCCCACCAAGGCGACGAUCCGUAGCUGGUCUGAGAGGAUGAUCAGCCACACUGGAACUGAGUCACGGUCCAGACUCCUACGGGAGGCAGCAGUGGGGAAUAUUGGACAAUGGGCGCAAGCCUGAUCCAGCCAUACCGCGUGGGUGAAGAAGGCCUUCGGGUUGUAAAGCCCUUUUGUUGGGAAAGAAAAGCAGCAGGUUAAUACCCCGCUGUUCUGACGGUACCCAAAGAAUAAGCACCGGCUAACUUCGCG